UUAGCCUCCAGUUGUGGGGUGGCGCGCGGUGCAUGUCGGUCCCGAGGCGGACUGUCCCCUCGCUGUGAGGUGCUCGGAGUCUCGCCUGACGCCAUGUUCCUUUGGGCCGCUGCCGCCCGGGGUCUCUAGCUGCCGCCGCCCCCGCGUGUCCCCGGAGCCUAUAGAGCCGCAGUCGCCGGCCGGGACCGGAGCCCGGCCGCGCCCCGCCAUGUCCGCCAAGGAGGGGAGCAAGGGGCCACCGCCGCCUCACGGCACCAGCGAGCGGGCCGUUAAGGGUGAGCCCCGCCAGCGACCGGCCCUCUGCGGGGUGAACGACGCGGCGGCGGGGCGGGGUGUCCCUUUUCCACCAACACAUCGCUUGUCAUCUGAAGAAGUGUUUGAUAUAGAUGGAAAACCUAGGGUUGACAUUUUGAAGAACCACUUAGUAAAAGAAGGUCGGGUAGAUGAAGAAAUUGCACUUAGAAUCAUCAAUGAGGGUGCUGCAAUUCUACGAAGAGAGAAAACUAUAAUAGAAGUUGAAGCUCCAAUUACAGUGUGUGGUGAUAUUCACGGCCAGUUCUUUGAUCUAAUGAAGCUGUUUGAAGUUGGAGGAUCACCUGCUAAUACAAGAUACCUCUUCCUUGGUGACUAUGUAGACAGAGGUUAUUUUAGUAUAGAGUGUGUGCUGUAUUUAUGGGUCUUGAAGAUUCUGUAUCCAAAUACAUUAUUUCUUUUGAGAGGCAACCAUGAAUGCAGACACCUCACAGAAUAUUUUACCUUUAAGCAAGAAUGUAAAAUAAAGUAUUCAGAAAGAGUCUAUGAUGCUUGUAUGGAAGCUUUUGAUUGCCUCCCUCUUGCUGCACUUUUAAACCAACAGUUUCUUUGUGUUCAUGGUGGACUUUCACCAGAAAUAAACACACUAGAUGACAUUAAGAGACUAGAUAGAUUCAAAGAGCCUCCUGCAUUUGGACCGAUGUGUGACUUAUUGUGGUCAGAUCCCUCAGAAGAUUUUGGAAAUGAAAAAUCACAGGAACACUUCAGUCAUAAUACAGUCAGGGGAUGCUCCUAUUUUUAUAGCUAUCCAGCAGUUUGUGAAUUUUUGCAAAAUAAUAAUUUGUUGUCGAUAAUUAGAGCUCAUGAAGCACAAGAUGCAGGCUAUAGAAUGUACAGAAAAAGCCAGACUACAGGGUUCCCAUCAUUAAUAACAAUUUUUUCGGCACCUAAUUACUUGGAUGUCUACAAUAAUAAAGCUGCUGUGUUAAAAUAUGAAAAUAAUGUGAUGAAUAUUCGACAGUUCAAUUGUUCUCCACAUCCUUAUUGGUUACCAAAUUUUAUGGAUGUCUUUACGUGGUCAUUGCCAUUUGUUGGAGAAAAAGUAACAGAAAUGUUGGUGAAUGUUCUGAGCAUUUGCUCUGAUGAUGAAUUAAUGACUGAGGGAGAAGAUCAAUUUGACGUAGGUACAGCUGCAGCACGAAAAGAAAUAAUCAGAAACAAAAUACGUGCAAUUGGCAAGAUGGCAAGAGUCUUCUCUGUUCUGAGGGAGGAGAGUGAAAGUGUGCUGACACUCAAGGGUUUGACUCCCACUGGAAUGUUACCUAGUGGAGUGUUGGCCGGAGGACGUCAGACGCUACAAAGUGAUGCAGUUUAAUUGGAAAUAGUGAUGAACAAUCUGAACACAGAAGACCAAGUGACAAACAAAGUGCCUUUUAAUCAGUGGAUCUCAAAGCCCUUUACAAAGAUGCUAAGUAUCAUCCCUGUUUCACAUAAAGGUAAGUGACUUGCCCAGUGUCACCCAGCAGGCUUGUGGCAGAGCCAGUAAUUAAACCCAGGUUUCCGUGCUCUAUCCAGUAGUCCUCACCACUGUAAUGUAAGCUCUCAUCUCCUUUAGCUUACUUGUUGUCUGUCCCGUUUCUGUGCUAAGAGCAGGGAGCAGAGAUGGCUGUCACUUUUAUGUUCCCUGUACUUGGCUGUAUAGGGACCUACCUGGACCGUAGUGUAAGUUAGAGCAGUCUCAGGGCUGCUCUACCUUACACUUUGCUGUUCAGAGUCUAGUUACGGGCCUGGGAAAUUAAAAAUAGCUGUAGUGUAGUACGCUCAGGCCACACGCCCAAUCCUUCUACACUGGAGGGGGUUAAUGCAGGGUCCUCAUGCCACUUUUACACUGGCUGGGGACGGGUUGUAUUCUCAGAGGCUAUUGCUGCCCAUUACUGUACUGUAAGAGGGCUUUAGUGUAACUGACAGUAAGGCCCCAAAUGUUUAGCAUGUGUUAUGGAAAUGGGCCAUCUUCUACCACUCUAUGGCAGACUUCUAAGCAGUUGUUUUUUCAGAUCUGUGAAAAGACUUGCUGUCACUGAGUGACCUGAACGGGGAACUGAAUGCUCAUUUAUGCUACACUGUAAAUUCUAGUGGUGUGUGUAUGUAACCAGUGGUGAGCUGGAGCCGGUUUUCACCUUUUCGCUGGAACCAGUUAAAUUCAGAAGCCCUUUUAGAACCGGUUGUCCCAUUUCCUAGGAGGCGGCCUAAGAGUUCAGGACUCUGGUGGAGGAAGGUACCAUGGUGGCCCAGUGCUCCCUCCAGAUAGCCUGGAUUGUAGCCGACUCAGUUGCAUGGGUUGUGGGCAGUGGUCAUGAGGCGCAGUUCCUGGCUCCAGACCACUGGCCUGUCCCAGGAGAUGCAGGCCUCAAUUCAGGACCUCGUAUUUGAUGGUGUCAGGCUAGUCUCCAACUAGAUGGAUGCGAGGCUGCAUGGCCUGAAGGACACUCAGGCUACCUUCCACUCACUGGGGAUGCAUACUCCUCAGGCUACAAGGCAGCUAUUCUGGCCUCCUCCACCGCCAAGGCAGUGGCGGUCUCGGCAGGGCCAGCAAGGAGAAAGGACACAGGCUUUAGCGACCACCGCCUUUCAUCCUCCCACUCUCCUGCACAACCUGGCCCAGUGUAAUUGAGCUACACCCUCCAGUUUAUGGCCCCCCCUCCGCCCCUUCCUCUUCUAUGUCUCUCUUCAGAGACCCUUCUCAUGAGCAAUUCCUCAUUCAGGACGUAAACAACAUACUGGGGGCAGUGGAGGAGGUCCCUCAGGAAAUGAGGGGGUAUGGUUUCUACUCCCACUAUUUCCUGAGCCAGAUGGAAAAAGGGGGCCUACAUCCCAUGACUCAACAAGUGCCUCAAAAGGUUGAAAUUUCGCAUGGUGUCCCUGGCCUUCAUUAUUCCACUCCCUAGAUCUGGGCCACUGUCCCUCUCAAUUUGAAAGACAGUUAUUUCCAUAUCUCUAUCUUCCCGGGACACAGACGGUUCCUUGGUUUCAUGGUGGGCCAGCACCAUUUCCAGUUUACAGUGCUACCCUUUGGCCUCUCCUUGGUCCCACGGGUCUUUACAAAAUGCAUGGCCCCCAUAGCCAGUUACCUGAGAUGAUGGGGGGUCCCUUAUCUUGACAAUUGGCUCAUCGGGGCAGAUCGUGAGAUCAAGUGCAGCACAGCCUCAAUCUGGUGCAAGCCACAUGCCACAACCUGGGCCUGUUAGUAAAUGUAAGUCAACCCUUGUACCAGUACAAUGAAUAGAAUUAAUCGUGGCGGUUCUUGACUCCACAUGGGCAAGGACAUUCCUCCCAGAGUCCUGCUUCCAAGGCAAUAAUAUCCCGUGUGAGGGAUCAUCCACUCACUACUGCCCAUACCUGUCUAUGGUUAUUAGGUCAUAUGGCUUCCUGCACUUACAUGGUUUGACAUGCCCGGCUCCAUCUUUGUCCAUUGCAGGCAUGGUUAGUGUCAGUCUACGUCUCCAACAGACACGACCUAGACUUGGCAGUCAAAGUGCUGGACCACGUUCAGGCAUCUCUGGCGUGGUGGCUGGCCCCUGUGUCGGUCCCGCAGGGAGUUCCCUUAGCAGCCCCAUCCCUGUCACUGACUCUAGUGUCUGAUGCUUCAGACCUCGGAUGGGGAGCUCACCUGGGGAAGCUCAGUACUCAAGGCUGCUGGUCGGGGGUCAACCGCUCCCUCCACAUAAACGUCAGGGAGCUCAGGGUGGUUCGCCUGGUCUGCCAAGCUUUUCGGUCCCACUUGCAGGGCAAGGUGGUUCAAGUUGUAAUGGACAACACUGCCAUGAUAUUUUAUAUCAACAAGCAAGGCGGAGCCAGGUCCUCAGUCUCUGGGACUUCUGUGUUCAGCAUGCCAUUCAUCUUGUGGUAGCACACCUUCCUGGAGCCAGGAAUGUCCUGGCAGAUCACCUCAGCAGAACCUUCUUGUCUCGCCACAAGUGGUCUCUUCACCCUGAGGUGGUGGACAGGAUCUUCCAGAGGAGGGGAUCUCCCCAGGUGAAUCUGUUUGCGACUAACCAGAACAGGAAGUGCCACUGUUUCUGCUCAUUCUGGGGGACCGACGGGUUUCCUGUCAGACGCCUUUUUGCUUCCAUGGUCGGGAGCUCUGAUGUACGCUUUCCUGCCAGUCCCGUUGCUCCAAAAGGUCCUCAUGAAGGUCAAGCGAAACAGGGCCAAACUCAUACUCAUUGCCCCGGCUUGGCCAUGCCAACACUGUUUUCAGCACACUCCUGGACCUGGUAGUGUUGGCCCCGAUGCUGCUGCCCCACUGGCCAGAUUUCCUGUCGCAGAAUCAGGGCCAGCUUUUGCACCUGAACCUACAGGUGCUGCACCUGACAGCUUGGUUGCUCCAUGGCUGAAUAUUGAGCAGGAGUGUUCAGCCUGAGUCCAACAGGUCCUGCUAGGAAGCAGGAAGCCUUCCACUAGGGUCACCUAGCUGGCCAAAUUUAUGUGCUCGCUUUGACCCAACGGGUUAGGCCUGUGGCAGCUGAUCCUAGACAACCUCAUGCAUGUUAAACUUCAGGGACUGUCCCUUUCAUCUAUUAAGGUCCAGUUGGCUGCUAUCUCGGCUUUUCACCCUCCGUUCCAGGGCAGGUAAGUCUUUGUGCAUGGCAUGACGAUCCAGUUUCUGAAGGGUCUGGAGCGACUCUACCCUCAAGUCUGGGAUCCUGUCCCUCCAUGGGACCUUAACCUGGUGCUCACACGGCUCAUGCAACCCCCCUUUGAGCUCUUAGCAGCCUGUUCUGUUCUUCUUCUGCUUUCCUGGAAGGUGUCGUUCUUGGUGGCAGUAACUCCUGCAAGGAGGGUUUCCAAGAUUAGGGCACUCACCUCGGAACCACCAUGUUCUUGAAGGACAAGGUCCAGCUGCGGCCACACCUGGCUUUCCUGCCCAAGGUAGUUCCCCAAUUUUACAUGAGCCAGGACAUAUUUUUCCAGUCUUCUGCCCAAAACCUCAUGAGGAGGACAUAGGUUGCACUCCCUUGGUGUCAGGGGGGCGCUAGCCUUCUACAUCGAGAGGACCAAGCCAUUUCGCAAGUUGAAUCAGUUAUUUGUUGUGGUGGCAGGUUGUCUGCUGUCCGCCCAGAGAAUUUCAUCUUGGAUCGCCUCCUGCAUCCGUUUCUGCUAUGACCAGGCAAAGGUUCCUGCACCGGUGUUUGUCACCACUCACUCAACUAGAGCGCAAUCCUCAUUGGUGGCCUUCCUGGCCCAAGUGCCCAGUCCGGAUAUCUGUAAAGCUACUACCUGGUCAUACAUUCACAUUUCACUAAGUGCUUAUUCAACGAGCUUGAGAUGAUGCUGGCUUCAGUAGAGCAGCUGAGAUUGGGGUCCAAAGCUCCCUGGACUUCUUGCCCCAGCUUGGGGGGGUUGCUUUCUUGUCAAUUUUGUGUUUUCUGCAGUGAAAUUGACAAGACAGCCACUGUAAGGAACAGUGUCUACACAAACAUUGCCCUGCCCCCAACUACACUGACACAAGCCUUACGUCUCUUGUGGUGGUGCAGUUAGGCACUUACGUCGGUGGGAGGAUGGCUGUAGUGUAGACCAGCCCUAGGUUUCCCGGAAAGUUUUUCCCCUAGUUGGUGUCUGCACAUUUUUAAGGGGAACUGUCAAGUUAAAUCACUUAACGUUUUUCCAUGUUACUAAGAACUUCAGAUUUCUUCCUACCAUUUAUGCUAAUGCUUCUACUUUGAGCAUUCCAUGUGUCUGUCUAUACAAAAGGAAGUAUAGUUUGCCUUUUAGCACACAGCUUUGGGUUUGAACAUUUCCAUGCAGUGUUUUACAUUUGUUUAAGACGACCCAAUAAUGGCUUUUUUUUAAAAUAGCCUGUCCAGUCAUUCAUCUGAGUAAACAGGAUCUUUCCAAAUCUAAUCAGUAAGUCCCUUUAUCUAUUUUUCAUUUGGCACCAUAAAAUUAGAGUGCACUUGUCAUUCCAGGCCAAACAAUAUCAAGUCAUGACUCAUUCAGGCAGGCCAGCAAUAUUAGCCCAUUUCUGAUGAGACUUCCACUCUACAAUAUUUGCCAUGCACACACUUAAACCAUUAAUACUUGGACUCAGUCAUGUCAUAUUUUUUACCAUUAUUGUGGAAACUGAUUCUGUAACAAAUAACCUGAAGUAGCCCACCUCUCCUAGCCUUAUUUUAAUUUGUAGAGGCUUCAUCUGUUGGUUUUAGGUGGGGUUAUUGUGCUUUGUCACCCUAAAAUGUCAAGGUGGUGGUAAGAUCAGCUAUGUUGCUCUUUUGAAUAAUUGGCUAAGCAAUUUAGUAUUGAAGAUUCUGUUGCUAUAAGUGUCCUAGGACUGUUUUAGUGAAAGGGUCUAAUCCCUACCAACCUUUCAAGAAGUGGAACUACUCGGGGCUGCAGAAUCUUUGGAGAUAAAUGACUUGUACUAUAAUGGCUGUUUGAAGGAAGUAAUUUAAUGUGGCAUCUCAGCUGUAUUUUCUGUGGGUCAAAAUGACACUGAUACUUCAGGUAAAUGACAGAUACAUCUUAUUUUUAUAUAGUAAAGUAUAAAUGUGCUCUAAAUUAAGACAAAAUACAAACUCUUAAAUCAUUCAUAAUUAGGAAGGCAGAUUUGGUUAUGCAAUAUUGAAAAUCGUUUUAUGUUACAUGCCCUUCACUUUGUUAAAAUGUAAAUCUUUUCUAUUGACCAACAAUUGCCACCAGCAACUUCCUGUAGUCACCACUUGUGUCACUUGAUAUCAUUGUAGCCAAAGUCUUCUGGUACAUCUGCAUGAAGAGCUGUUUGAUCUGUACAAGAUCAGUCUGUGUCAAAAGAAAAAGAUAAGCAUAAAACACUCAACAAGCAAUCAGUGUACAAUAUGGGAUAAUUCGGUAGUAGAGUAAGAGUCUACUUGCAGUGAACCCAGACAAAACAUCAAUUCAUUCCUUGUACCCUACAGCAGCCCAGACAAUGCAGGCAAAAAGGAAAGAGAUGCUCUCUCUGCAUGACACCCUCUCAGGAUCUCUCAGAGCUCUAAGAGGUUCUGAAGCUAGACGACACUUCUGUAAAUGGUGAAGAAGGCUGCUUCAACCUCUGGGAGCAAACAGACUGAAAGGCCGUCUCCCCAAAUUCUCCAGUCCACUUCAACAGGAAAAGCACACCAGGGUCCCUUCCCACUGCUUCUAGAUGGGUAAGUCACUUUGAAAAAGCAAGAGGCAGCCGUCAUACAGUGAAAUACUCCUGCAUUUCCUCUCCAAUUACAUAUCAAUGGAUGAGACAUGCAGGGUUAACCCACCACAUCUCAAGAGCCAGCCUGGGGCUCUUGAUAGGGAGAAUCCUCCCCAAAAGACAAAAAAUGACAGGUUUCAGAGUAAGAGCCGUGUUAGUCUGUAUUCGCAAAAAGAAAAGGAGUACUUGUGGCACCUUAGAGACUAACCAAUUUAUUUGAGUGUAAGCUUUCAUGAGCUACAGCUCACUGCAUCCGAUGAAGUGAGCUGUAACUCACGAAAGCUUAUGCUCAAAUAAAUUGGUUAGUCUCUAAGGUGCCACGAGUACUCCUUUUUAAGAAUCAAAAAGCAUCUUAUCUCACAUGAGUGCUAGCUCCACCCCCACAAAUAGGGAAGCCUCUUCUUCGGAACAUAAAAUUCAGAAACAGUGAGGUAAGCUGCUUAACCAGUCCAUUUUUGAAACCAUGAGGAGGAAGGAGGCAGCCACCGACAAAAGAAACUGAGCAAGCUCAAUCAUUUCCUCCAACCAAACUUUGAAGGACUUACAUAGAAGUGGUAAAUUGAUGAUAAAUGGAAAAGUAAUAGGGGAAUUCUGCACCAGUGCGCAGUGCAGAAUUUUGCAGAAAUGAAUGUUGUGCACACAGAAUUUCCUUUCUUCCACAGAAAUAGGCUGCAGUGCUGCUGGCCACAGGUCACAAAUAGAAGACAAGGCAAGGGAGAGGUUCCCAGCAUGCUCUGAAGGAGGCAGCGAAGCGUAGGAAACUCCAUGGAAGCCCAGAUCCCAACAUCAUGCAGUUUCUCCCUCUGGAUCCCUGGGCUCUGGAGGGCAGGGAGAGGAGUGUCUGGGCUCUGUUGGGGGAGGUGGUUUGGGUGUAUUGGCGGGGUGGGGGGUUGAGCAUAGUGGCUGGGCUCUGGGGAGAGGGGUUGUGGGUGUCUGGCCCCCCAGCUGCGCUGUGUGGGUGGGGCAGAGAAACGAACUGGGUUGUCAUAGGGGUUUCUUUAACUUUCUACUCCUGGGGGAAAUUUUGUAUUGUAUUGUCUGUAUUAUUACUGACAAAACAGGUAUUCUGAAAUAAAUUACCAAAAUAAUUGAAA